rnacentral:lncRNA from 1 species
ACGGACGUUUAUAGUGAGUGCGCACGCUCCAUCUGUCCGGCCGGUGAAUGAAGCUGUGGAUGACGUCUGGCAACAUUUCUAACUACUGAGACACUGUGCGCACCCCUGAAACUUAUGAUUCUGCUUUUCAUGAUUUACAAUCUGAAGACAGUCAAGACAUCAAAGGAAUAAAGGCCAGACACCAGAAACAAGCAGCUCACCACAACCUUUCACAGCCUUGCAUAG